UCUCUCCUUUCGUCCUGGAAUUUGCGCCAUCGCCAUCGACGACAGCCUUGCCUUGUGCGCAACGUGGUAACCGAGGAGACUGAAGUCAACGUGUGCGCACUUAUGACAAGGCAAAGAGGAGGGCCAAGAAGGCGGAAUGCGAGUUGGCUGUGGACACCACGGAGCUGUCGGCGAUGCUGCUGCGGGUGCAGCUGAGGCAUGAAGUACGGGUCGUGUCUGAGAGGCUGGAUGAAACUGAGCCUCUUAACAAGACCCGUACAGUGUCUCAGCCUGCCUUGUCGACGGUGCCUCCAGUUCUUCCUCGGCUACCUGCCGACAAUAUUAAAGAAUUAGAGGCAGCCGUGCGGGAUGAGGCUGUGGCUGCCACCUUGCGCAAGCACCUCCUGCAAAUAGGAGGGAAGUCACUGCGCGAGGUGGCAUCGUAUGCCAUGAAGGCUGUAAUGGUGCACCCCGUCCAAGUGCUUUACAGCCUUCAUAGCAGGAAGGGGAAGAGGGCAUUCAUCAAUUUGAAGUUAUGCCGGAUAGUCACAGGUAAAGCUUCCUCAGUCAUCCUUUUGCAUUGUUGAAGUAUUGUGUGUACAGCCGAACUCCUCUACAGCGAAAUGGCUUGCAUAACAAGAGGUUGUCCUUGCCAAAAUCGUGUCUUUCAUAUAAAUUGUCAACUUCUACAACGAAGAAAUUUGGG